rnacentral:lncRNA from 1 species
UUUAAUGUACCGAUUUUCUAUUUUGCCAGUGGUUAUGGAAGUUAUCAUUGCCAUAUGUUUAUUAUGGUGGGGAAUUUGUUUAUUAUUUUCAAUUUAAAUGUCAGCAACCAACCAAAAGUGUUGUUUUGUCUCCAUCAUCUAGGAGAUUUGUGCUUCUACUUUGUUUUAUCGUGCAGUGAAUUCUAUGAAUGGAAGUAAAUAUUUUCAACGCCUAUUUUACUAUUUGUCACUUCAUAAAUUCAGAGAAGUUUAAAUAUGUGAGGUAAAAGAUGUUCAUCAACAAAUAAAUAAGUAAGGUUGACUAAUAUUAUAUUUGUUAGGUACUAUAUCAUUUUAGUGUUGAAAAUUAAUGUAAUUGCACAACAAUUUGUAAAUUUAAUUGUCAGAUAUUCACUUUGAAGCACAUAGAAUUUAUGCAAGCAAAGAUGGAUGUAAAUGCAAUUCGCUUGAAUUGUGUACCGAUGUGACGAUAAAAAAUUGGCUAUAGAGUUGUUGGCAUGGAACUUCAAGC